rnacentral:lncRNA from 1 species
CUAAGUUUCAAGUUGAUUUAACCUGAAGCUGGACAAACGGACAAACGAACAGACGAACGGACGAACGCACGCACAGACCAGAAAAACAUAAUUUUCAUAAAUGGAGCAUAAAAAACAUUAAUAAUACAUAUGAAUAUUCCGUAAUCGAGCCCAAUUGUAUGGUUCCAGAGGAAGCAGAUUAAAAUCUUAAUUUGUCUUGAUAUAUGCAGGCGGAAACCCAGUUGAAAUAGAACAAAAGAAUUGUAGCUCUUUAUUGGAGAAGGCGAUAAAUGUUUACUGUAAUGCGUACUAUAGUAACAAAAUUUU